CAUCACCAUGAAGCUGUUGACUGCAUCUGCACUUCUUUGUGCAAUGAUGGCUCUGACCACUGCUGCUGAUGACGAUCACAGCAGUGAGGAAGAGGGAUCAGUUUCACCAGAGAUACUGUCAGUCCAAGAAUGCAAACCUGGCAUCUGUACGCAACCUUGGAGAGUACCGGGCGAUUCAGAGGGUCAUAUACCGUGCUGCCCGUUAACACGUACCGACAUGGAUUGGAGGCUCUGA